GUGAGUAAGGGCAGGGUGUCACAGGGGUGUCCUGGCAUUAGUUGGGAUGCAGGACUCCCCACAUCUCAGAUCCUGCAGCCUGCUCAGUCAUCCUCAAACGAAGUGGCCAACGGGCAUGGCUGGCCUUAGGGGAAGGUGGAUUGUGGACAGAAGCAAAUGAGCUGACCCAAUGAGCUGGGCCUGCCCCCUUACAUGCAAUAGGACUCUGACCAGCUCUGCCCUUUGCCCAGAGAUGCAUAGAACCCAGACCCAUCAUGAAGAUUGCCCCACUUCCAAAGUCUUCAUCUUUCAGUUUGUCCAUUUCUCCUCUGCUCCCUUCUAUGUAGCAUUCUUCAAAGCAGGCGAGGACCCCUGACCAAGGCUGCUGACGCCCAGUGAAGUCCCAGCAGGGUGGCAUUGUCCUUGGGCCUCUAGAUUUGUCUCUACAUCUUGCUGUUGACUUUGAAGUUGGCCGUUGAUUUUCCUGGACUUCAGUUUUCUCAGCUGUAAUAUACCAACACAUCACUGGGGAAAUGUGAAACUAACACCUGCAUUCACUCAUUCACUCAACGGCCACCGAGUGGCACAGGCCUGAGACCCCACCUCCUAUUCCUGACACUUGGGUUCAUCGCCAUCUUUGGGGGGGCCUUUCCACUGAGCAGCCUGGACUGGAUGCUGGGGGCACAGAAAUAAACCAGAGCUGGGCCUUCCCUCUAGGAGCUUCAGGUUUUAACAAACACAGGUGAAACAGAAGUUAUUUACUCCCUAGAGUUGUUGUGAGGAUUAAUUGAAUGAAUCCCCAGAACCCCUCAGAAUAGUGCCUGGCAGCACCGACUCAAUGGAUAUGAGUUUGAGUAAACUCCGGGAGUUGGUGAUGGACAGGGAAGGCUGGCGUGCUGCAGUCCAUGAGGUCGCAAAGAGUGGGACACGACUGAGCGACUGAACAACGAAGUGCCUUGUACUUAGUAAGCGCUUGGCAGACAGGAGACGCUGUCCCUGGAGCCCAGGACUCAGGGUCCAGAGAAGUGAGACUUCCUUUCCAGGACCCUAAUUCCCCCAGGAUCCUCCCUCCUUUGGGGGCCUCUGCUUCCAGCUAGGAGUCAAGGCUACGGUACCUUGGCCAGCGGCCCCAAGGUCGGCCCAGGAGUUGGGGUGAGAGGGCUGGGGCUCUCUGAAAACCAUUAACCCUGCAUUGCCUCCCUCUGCGCGUUCCCAGUCUCCUGCCCCUUGAGCAACACUGACAAUAAAUCUCUCUGCGCCCCGCAGUGCCACCUCCCCACGGACGCCUUGUCCCCACCCCCUCUGUGCAGUGUCUCCUCAUUACGUGCCGAUGUUCUGGGGGCCAAGGUGGAUAUGAAGGAGUGAAGGGACCUAACCUCUCCAACUGAAUGGUUACCAGUUGGCAAGGGAGAACUCAUGGGA
ensembl:lncRNA